GUUCCUACGGGGCGGAGCAGUGGGGAAUAGUGCAAAAUGGGGGAAAACCUGAUGCAGCGACGCCGCGUGAGUGAAGAAGUAUUUCGGUACGUAAAGCUCUAUCAGCAGGGAAGAGAAAAAGUCCUUUGGACUUUGGACGGUACCUGACCAAGAAGCCCCGGCUAACUACGUGCCAGCAGCCGCGGUAAUACGUAGGGGGCAAGCGUUAUCCGGAUUUACUGGGUGUAAAGGGAGCGUAGACGGCAGCGCAAGUCUGGAGUGAAAUGCCGGGGCCCAACCCCGGAA
rnacentral:rRNA from 1 species